AGAAGAGGGACACGUCACCCUGGAGGAUCUACAACAUGAAGGAUUCCAGAAGAAACGAAUUAAAAAGGAGGAUGAAGAUGAUGAUGAUGAUUUCUUCUGUGAAGUAUCUUUAAUCCCGGUGGAACUCGUCCCUUCUGUGGAGCUGCUCUUCUCAGAGAACCAAGUGUGGAGGUUUCCAGAUGAAGCCUGUGAAGAAGGAAGAACCUGAAGAUAAAGAUGAACUCAAACUGAACAAGGAUUUCUCCUGCUCCUCGUGUCCACGUUCCUCUACAACCCAAAAUCACCUCCACAAUCACAUCAAGAGCUGC